rnacentral:rRNA from 1 species
AGCAGUCGCCGCGGUAAUACGGAGGGUGCAAGCGUUAAUCGGAAUUACUGGGCGUAAAGCGCACGCAGGCGGUUUGUUAAGUCAGAUGUGAAAUCCCCGAGCUUAACUUGGGAACUGCAUUUGAAACUGGCAAGCUAGAGUCUUGUAGAGGGGGGUAGAAUUCCAGGUGUAGCGGUGAAAUGCGUAGAGAUCUGGAGGAAUACCGGUGGCGAAGGCGGCCCCCUGGACAAAGACUGACGCUCAGGUGCGAAAGCGUGGGGAGCAAACAGGAUUAGAUACCCCUGUAGUCCCUGUCUCUUAUAC